rnacentral:rRNA from 1 species
UACGUAGGGGGGCAAGCGUUGUCCGGAUUUAUUGGGCGUAAAGAGCGUGUAGGCGGCCAUACAGGUCAGCUGUGAAAACUCGAGGCUCAACCUCGAGACGUCGGUUGAAACCGUGUGGCUAGAGUCCGGAAGAGGAGAGUGGAAUUCCCCGGUGUAGCGGUGAAAUGCCUUGAGAUCGGAAGGAACGCCGACGGCGAAAGCAAGGUCCUGGACUCGUCCUGACGCUGAGGCGCGAAAGCCAGGGGGAGCGAACGGG